GAGCCAAGAGCCCUGAGCAUGUUCUUCCUUCACUCAUGACAGGUGGGGACCGUAUCUGAGUGAAUGCAUCACUCUCUGGGGUGAGCUCCUUGGCCUGGCCAUGAGACAUCUGGAAAGUGGCCUAUUGCCACUACCCAGAUUUUGUAUGAACAAAGCCUCAUUUCUGUGCAAGACCCAGCACAAACAACCCAACUCAAGGCCUUCCUCCCUUAACUUACUCUGACAUCCCUGGAUGCUCACCCUACUGAGUCCCAGUGUCCAUACAUGAUUCAACCAGCCAUAUAGCCAACAAGUGUUCCCUGAGUACUGCAUGCCAAGCACUGUCCUAGGGGCUGAAGAAGCAGAAGGGAAAAGCAACAGAGUUCUUCUCACAAAACUUACAGGCAAUGGGGAUACGCACUCUACUACUGCUCUAACUACUGAACUACCAUCAAGUAUUUGGGUGGUAAUAAAUAUUAUAAAUGCAGAUAUAACAGGGGAAGAGGACAGUCACCAUGGGGGGACUUGUGGAUAAGGUGACAUGUGGGCAGGGGCCUGGAUAAAAUACUGGGUCAAGGAAUGUACAUAUUUGAGGAAAGCAGGUGAGGGGCGGGGGUGGAGAAAGCUCAGUGGCCCUGAGCUAUGAGGAUGCUCAGCAUAUUGGGGGAACAGCAAGGAGGCCCGUGUGUGGGAAUGGUGUUAGCUAGUGAGGGAGCAGGUGGGAAGUAAGGUCAGAGGGUAGGUAAAGGAGGGAGGAGAGAUGGGUAGAUCAUGUAAAGGCCCUGGAGAGAACUUCAGGUUUCAUUCCCUGUGAUUUGAGAAGCCAUGAAGGAAUAACAUGAUCUGACAUAUAUUUUUUUUUUUUAGAUUACCCUGGCUGGCUGUGGGUGAAAAGGUUGGUAAGAAAGACAUAUUAAGCCAGGCACGGUGGCACAUGCCUAUAAUCCCAACGGCUCAGGAGGCUGAGGCAGGAGGAUCAAGAGUUCAAAGACAGUCUCAGCAACUUUGUGAAGCCUUAAGCAACUCAGUGAGACCCUGUCUCUAAAUAAAAUACAAAAAGAGCUGGGAAAGUGGCUCAGUAGUUGAGCACUCCUGAGUUCAAUCCCCAGUACCAAAAUAAAACAAAACAAAACCAGAGGGACAUGUUAGAAGAUGACCAGGAGACUACUGCAACAACCCAAGCAAAGGAUAAUAGAGUCUGAGAUUAGGGCAUCUAUGGGGAGAAGCAACUGAAUUCUGUAUAUAAGAUAGAAGAUAUGACUAACAGGGUUUGCUUUUGAGCCAGAUAUGGAGCUGAAGAGAAAGACACACAGAGAAAAUAAAGAUUCUGAGGCAAAGGUCCCCUUAGGAGGGGGCCAGGCUCCUUCUGGGUCUGAUGCAUGUGAGGUUGGCAAAGCACCUCCUUAGACACUGUUCCUUCUAGUCUUCAACACCCCAAGAAUAAUCCCAUGUUGUGAACUGACCCAAAGCACACAAGAUAAGUGGCCCAGACGUCCCAAGUGAGUCCAUGCUCUGUGCAGUAAGUUCCACCUUCCCAGGCCCCUACUGGUUCUUCUUCUGCAUACUUCUGCCCUUGUUCCCUCUAGGGUCCCAUCCUACCUUCACUCAGUGCACAGGGGCUGAGGGGGCAGUUUCUGGCCAGGGUUAGUGGUCUUCCAGAACUAUGUUUCAUGUCUAGCCUCCCUAUUCCUAAAUGAGAGCAUCCCCACGUAGUAGGAGGGACAGCUGAGGCUCGACACCCACUCUCUGCACCUGACAUUCCUCCUCCCUGUGGAACCCAGGUGGUUGACCCUGAUGCCUGGAAAGCCCUCAGGGGGCCUUCUGUAGAUCUUUCCCAGACUUCAUGCAGCCUGACCCACUAGGAAGCAAGCAGCCCACUCCCCGAUGCAGUCCUGUAGCCACCUCAAUUUGGAGACCCACCUUAAUAAGUUGUGGAGUUUCUGUGAAGAGUUCCUACAGGUACCAUGAAUUCAGAGAACUCUUACAACUCUAAUUGUCCCAAUUUUACAGAGGAGGAGACUUAGAUCUUAGAGGAGUCAAUAAAGUGCCCAAGAGUGCAGAGCUGAGCCAGGCCAGCUUCAGGGCCCGUGAUCACUGCUGAUGAGGUGGGGUAGAGGGAACAUCAAGGGUUAAGGACAACCCCAACCAUUCUCCUGCGAUGACAGUGUAAUAGCCCUACAGUCUCUUGUCCUCAAAUGCGUGUUUCCCAAGUAUAGUCACGGACUCUAUCUUGGGAUUCCCAGUGACCAGCACAGAACCUGGCCAAUGAGAACGAAUGACUAGACAUUAAUAUCAGGUGCCUCUGUAAGCACUUUGCAUAUAUUAACUCAUUUAAUUCUCAAGACAACCCCAUGAGGAUAAUGCCAUUAUGAUCCCCAUACUACAAAGGAGGAAGACGGAUCCCAGAAAGUGUAAGUAAUUCGUCCAAAGUCACACAGGCCACAGCACUAACAAGUGGUGGAGCUGGGAUUGGAACCCAGGUGGCUCUUAACCAUCUGUUAAUUGCCUCUCUGGGUUGCUGGUGCUGGUGAAGGCUUGAGAAAUGAAUGAAAGAAAACUCACUGAGGGUCUGCUAUAUGCCUGCCAGAAAUAAAAAUACACUUUCUAUUUUCAAGUUGCUCAUAAUCUUGGGAGGAGAAGAGAGAGGAGGUAGACAAUUCCAGGGCCAGUGGUGAGACUAAUGAUGGCAGGAAGACAAAGUGAUUUGCAGACCAGGUGAGACUUAGCCAGUUGGGGAGGCAGGAGCCGAUGAAGAGCAGUGCAAGCAAUGGGAGCAGCCUGUGCAAAGGCACUGAAGAGGCAAAGGGCUCUUUGAGCUCCUAGGCUCAAAGAACAGGCAGGAGCCAGAAAGACCAGCCUGAAGGGGCGUGGGAGCCUGUGGGAGCACUGAAGAGGGGUACUGAAGAGGAGAAGUUGCAAGAGGAGGACACUGUAUAUUGUUUUGCAAGCGUGCACACACACACCUACACACACCUCUGCCUCCUGCCUUCCUCAGAAUCUGGGAAGCGCUACAUAAUCUUUUUCUAAUUAUGAAGCAGACUCUAUAGCAGAAAUCUAAUUACAAAUCACCUAAAAGUUGUUCCACACUGGAAUCCAUGCAUUAUGCAUUCCCUGAGUUAUGCACCCAGCUCCUUCUGGAGGGGAGGGAGAGGCAGUUCUGCUCUCUAGCCACUGAGGUUCCAAGGACAGCCCGCUUGAGUUUCCAGGGUCUUGUUCCCAUGCCCCAGGAGCCAGUCUCCAUGCGAGAGCUUUGAAAAUUGCAAACUUGGAAGAGCCGCCCUGAGGAGAGAGCAAUACAACAGACUUGACUGAGGAUGCUGUGGCCUCUGGAAGCAUUAGGCCUGUCUGUGGUCAGGUCCUGAGUACCCAGCGCCCACAUCUGCUUCCUCACAGAGGCCAACCUGCUCCCAGGGCCAGAAGAUCAGCCUCUUCUGCCCGGGGUCCUCCUCCUGCGGCCUGCAAAUCUAACCUGGGUUUGGGAGACCCAAGGCAGCCUGGGGACUGGUGGUGCCGGGUUCUGGACAGGCCUGGCGGCUGGACUGGGGAGGGGCCGGGCCCGGUGGCUGUGGGGGAGGGUGCUGGAGACGGAGCCAGAUCGUUUUCUUCCCCCUUGGGUUUGAACGCUGGAACACAA
rnacentral:lncRNA from 1 species